rnacentral:rRNA from 1 species
AAUGAACGCUGGCGGCAGGCCUAACACAUGCAAGUCGAGCGAAUGCAUGGGGCUUGCUCCCGGAUUCAGCGGCGGCCGGGGGAGUCAUGCCCAGGACUCUGCCUUAGCGCUGGGGAUCACGUCCGGAAACGGGCGCUGAUCUCGCAUGCGUCCUUAUAUCGAAGGUGGGGGAUCUUCGGUUCUCUCGCUUUCUGAUGAGCCUAGUUCGGAUUAGCUAGUUGGUGGGGUAAAGGCCUACCAAGGCUACGAUCCGUAACUGGUAUGAGAGGAUGACCAGUCACACUGGAACUGAGACACGGUCCAGACUCCUACGGGAGGCAGCAGUGGGGAAUAUUGGACAAGGGGCGAAAGCCUGAUCCAGCAAUGCCGCGUGUGUGAUGAAGGUCUUCGGAUUGUAAAGCGCUGUAAGUUGGGAGGAAGGAAAGUAAGUUAAUACCUGAAUGUAUUGACGGUACCAACAGAAGAAGCACCGGCUAACUUCGUG